AUGUACAUAAACCGUGAAAUUGGCCACUGCAUGUUACCACAUUUUUUCGCUAUCAGGAAUUCUGGAGCUUAUCAUGCAACAAUUUCAAGCUUCCAUAUCUUAUCUUGUUGCUAACCUAAAUACACCAUGACGAUGUCAAGUAAAUGCGCAGUUUACUGCAAUUAUAUUCAGUCCUCACACCCACUCACUCAACUUUAUAGAACGUAAUAAAACUAGUUUAAAAUAUUGGACUUCAUAGAAAUGGAUCCUGACGUUCCUGCAGAAUCACUUACAUCUUGGUUCGAUUAUCUUAAGCCUAGUACUCAGGACGAAUGUUCACGCGGAAUUUCAUCGUGCUUAAAUUCUGUUAAAUUUUUCGCUGGAGAGAAAUUCGUAAGCGGGCAGAAAAUACCAUUAUUCCACGUAUAUUUCGCUCAAUUUUCACUCGUAGGUACUCAGGUCAUUUGAGCUGAAAAACAGGUUUCAUUUUGCCCCAUUUUAAAUUAACCGCCUUGCCAUUGAGUUGAAACUGAGAUUUUGAGGUUGCUCCGCCCUCUUAUUUUGAACUCAGAGGGCCGCGAGUCACUUUCCGCUCACAUUUCACGUGAAAGAAUUGCCUCGAUUUAACGGAAACUUUGAGCUUACAUUGAGCGUAAACUGCUCGCGCGGAAAAUUCCGCACAAGUUUCACGCGAAGACCUGAGUACCACUCGGGCUUAAAUUGAGCAGAAUUUCUGCAAAAGUCGUUUUCCGCGCGUAAAGUCCAUCGUGAGUACUAAGCUUUACGUUGGAAUCUUUUCUUGGAUCUGGGUCAUAUGGCUACGUUUUCAAAGCGACACGAAAUCGUAAACGUUAUCUUAAAUUUGGAAUAGAGCUGCACCGAGUAGUGAAAAAUGAGACUCGGCCGAUUACCGAGUACUCGGCCAUUCUUGAAACGAGUACUCGGCCCAGCACCGAGUAGUUCAUAUAAAUUGAGCAAAAUUUAAUAACAAUGAAUAUCUCCCAGCGUAAUCUACCUAAUUUUGAUGGUAUUAGUGUCGUUACAAUUAUUUAGACAGGCUAGGCGGAGAUAUUUGCAUACAAAGAGGUGAAAAUGCGUCACAAAGUUAACAAAUGGUGCAGUUUUCAAAUUCAGUCUCCUAUUCAGAUACAAAUAACUAUCCGGAUACAAACAUAAACGUAAUUCACCUACGUAUAAAGAAUCUAAAUUUGUAGCUGCAGUGGCACGAUCCUGUUUAGUUGCGAAUUUAUGUGUUCGGAAACUAAACGCAAACCACGAGCUACAUCAUGUCGUAAGACGAUGACUACCUAACCUGACCGAGUUGUGUUCUGCAUGAUGGAUUCCUUUGGUCGUCUCAGCCCACAUUUGCUUGGCAUAAAAUGUAGGGGCAGAUUCGGAAGGACCUGAAAAAAAAUUAAAAAUUUUAGCUCCAAAAAAACCAGCAACUGCAGCGCCAAUAGCUAGUUGUCGUUUAGAACGCGCAGGGGGAGAAAUUGUCCCAUUAGGAAUUAUGGUCCUCGUUUCGCGUCGACCUUUCGUUGGAGAAAACAAGUUGCCGACGUCUGACGAAGUGAUGUUGGUUGUCACUUCUGGCAGUGGGUUCUCUUCUUCCGAGCUUUCUUCAUCGAUGGGUGGGGUGGGGGGAACUUACGGGGGAGAUGGGCGUCGACGAAUGUUGUUAUCGUCGUUAUUGGUGUUAGUGUUGUUGACCCGUUGGGGUUGGGAGGCUGGGUUGUGCUCCUCUAACGUGAAAUUAAGAGGAUCUGUGGGUUGGUGAAUUUUAACAGCGCCACCGGUCACCGAAGAUAUCAUUCUAUUUAGAUGAUCAAUUAAGGAAGCAAUGUUAGUUGUUAAAAGUGGUUUAAAUACGCAAGGAGCGUGCCAUUUCACGGAGCUCGAGCAGUGCGUCGACAUUGAAUUUGAAUAAUAAGAGUGCUGGGGGUAAAGGAAAGGUGCAAUUGAAAGUAGAUGGGAGUGGUUUCGGAGUACACAGUGACAGAGUCAGGAGUCAUGCGUAUGUAGGCGCCUGAUACGAUGUGCGUUCGUGGAGAAAGCAUGACAUCUCCUCCCGUUCCGCUAGUAGGCAAGUCCGUAAGGUAAGAGGAUGGAAGAGUAGAUAAUAACCCCAAGAGGAGUGAAAGUUCUGAAAAUUCCAUUUCUAGGGAAAGUAGAAAAGCAUUUAAUUAGUUUGGUGAGAACCGAACUACUGGCUUAACUAAGCGACCAUAGCGCGUUCUCGGGUGGUCACUGUACGCUGGUGUUGGUGUUGUGGCUAAUACUCGAGGCGGAGGGAGUGAAGAUGAAUGAUUGGGUGGGAUAAAGGUGGAGGUAUCAUCAGCGAUGGAUUCAGAUAUUAUUGGGAUCUCGUCAUUGAAAGAAACAGAAUUGGCUCGUGUAAGUGGAGUAUUAGUCUCGGUGGGGAUUAUGGUGCAUCCAGUGAAUACAGAUCACUUAAAGAAGGAUGAAGAUAUGGUUAUUGUUUCAGUAUAGGGAAAUGGGGUUCCAAAUGCUGUGAUUGGCUGACGGUUUUUAUGGGCAUCCGCCCAUAAAAACCGGGCCGUGGCACAACUCAAUUUUUCCCAAUCUCAAUUUCCCCAUUACUUGGAAAUCUCACUCCUUUCUUGGCACCAAAAUCAGGUGUCUCCUUUACCAUCAUUCUUGCUGCCAAACUCGGAAAAGCUGAGUAAUUAAAAGAUUAUUUAAUAUCCUACAAAUUAAUUUUCUGACAUCCACUCAACUACAUAAAUCGCUUCAACUCACCACAAGUUCAGCUCUAAACUUCAACUCUAGGUAAGUAGUAAAGUAAUUACUAUUUUCUUUUAGCAAUGAACGGUGGGGACGCAAAUAUGGUGGUGACACGUUCAUUUUUACGAGUGAUUUCGAUGUUAAUUUAUUGUGGUUUAUUGGUAUAGGUAACUGCUAACGACAAUUUUUCAUCGAUUAAUUUUGCGACCUCUCUGCCGUGCCCUCACCAGAAAUCUGUGUCAUAUCCGGCCAAACUGACUCAAUUACCAUGAGAUGUUGCUCGUGACCUGGUAACAGUGUGAAAUUGUCGGAAACUUCUUUAAAGUUUACCAGAUAUAACAUUUGUGCAGAUUGUUUCCCAAUUUUGUGAUCUUUUACCCCUGCAUCCACCAGAAAUCCGUGUCUUCGCCGGUCAAUUUAUCCAAUCUAUCAGUGUGUGUUUACAAUAUUCGCCUUGUCGGCCAAAGAAUGGUACUUAAAUGAAUGGAACUUUGUCAAGAACAUUAAAAAACUUCGUUUAAGGCUACCAAGAUGGUCAGAAUAUUUAUUUGGAUGUAACAAAUCAUCUUUUCAACAUGGUCCGAAAUAAAAAAUGCUGCGUUCCUAACUGUCAUAAUUCAUUAAAUGAAGAAGAUCACAAUUCGUCCUUUUUCAGUCUGCCAAAGUGCCCGAAGAGGUGUCAGGAGUGGUGUGACAUUCUCGACAUCGAUAAGGAAAACGUGUCACCUAAAACGAUUGUAUGCAGCAAACAUUUUCAUCCACCUCCAAAACAUUGCAGACUUGUUAAAGGAGCUUUGCCGAUUGCUCCACCUCCCUUCGUGUCCUCACCGAUGGGGGGUGGGGUGAAUCAUCAGAAGCUUUCCCCCGAGGUGAAGAAGAAGAUUAAGAGUAUAAGAAAUAAGCUUUACUACAGGAGGAAGAAGAAGGACCAGAACCUUAUUAAACUCCAGCCAGAGCGGUGAAGACGCAGCUUGAGGAAUGGUGGCCAACAGUACGCCAUCGUCAGACUUUGAUUUCUUCGCGUCCUGGUCGCGUUGACGGGCCCUCCUUCUAGUUUUGUGAUGCAAAACCGUUUUCACAUUCUCCAGCUCGUCAAGGUCACAAAUGUGGAGCAGGCGUUUGAUGAGGCCGACUCUUUCUUCUCCUCGUGCAGUCGAUGCCCAAGCCACCGCCUCAUCUUGUACCGUCCAGUCUCCCAUGAUUUCGACAAGGUGGUUGGUCAAGGCUUAAAAAAUAAUUACAAUUAAUUUAAGCAAUUAAUAAAAAAUACCAUUGCAAAGGA